rnacentral:rRNA from 1 species
GACAGAGGGUGCUAGCGUUGUUCGGAAUGACUGGGCGUAAAGGGCUCGUAGGCGGCCAACUAAGUCGGACGUGAAAUCCCUCAGCUUAACUGGGGAACUGCGUCCGAUACUGGAUGGCUUGGAUUUGGGAGAGGGAUGCGGAAUUCCAGGUGUAGCGGUGAAAUGCGUAGAUAUCUGGAGGAACACCGGUGGCGAAGGCGGCAUCCUGGACCAAUAUUGACGCUGAGGAGCGAAAGCUAGGGGAGCAAACGGG